rnacentral:rRNA from 1 species
GACGAACGCUGGCGGCGUGCUUAACACAUGCAAGUCGAACGGAAAGGCCCCUUUGGGGGUCCUCGAGUGGCGAACGGGUGAGUAACACGUGAGUAACCUUCCCUUGACUUCGGGAUAACUUCAGGAAACUGGGGCUAAUACCGGAUAGGAAUCCUUGCUGCAUGGUGGGGGUUGGAAAGCUUCGGCGGUUUUGGAUGGACUCGCGGCCUAUCAGCUUGUUGGUGGGGUAGUGGCUUACCAAGGCUUUGACGGGUAGCCGGACUGGGAGGGCGACCGGCCGCAUUGGGACUGAGAUACGGCCCAGGCUCCUACGGGAGGCAGAAGUGGGGAAUAUUGCACAAGGGGCGGAAGCCUGAUGCAGAAACGCCGCGUGCGGGAUGACGGCCUUCGGGUUGUAAACCGCUUUCAGCAGGGGCGAAGCUUGUGGUGACGGUACCUGCAGAAGAAGCACCGGCUAACUACGUG